UUUACUUUGAUUCACCUCUAGGUGUCGCUUGUGUGCUGUUGGGUUAAGGACAGGUGUUCUCCAUCUCCUUGAUCAAGCUGGGAGAAUGGUGCCAGCACUUCGAUGCCUGAGUGUUUUGCCUCUGUGGUUCAGUUUUGGACCCAGUUCAAGCUCCUUGAAGAACCUACUUGACCUCACCUCAGUUGCCAAGAUUUCCAGUCAGGCUUUGCUGGCAGCCGUUGGACUCCAUAACCUCAGCUUCUCCGAGCGAAACCUGUCCACCCUCCACGAGCGGCACCACUGGACCAAAUCAGUAAGGAAACAACGAAUCAAAGUUCUGAUCUGUGGAAAGGAUCGGUUAUCAAAGCGACCAGGCUUACCAAACUUACCAGACCCGGAAUAACUCCCCUCUGGCGAACCAGCAUCUGCAACAAACUCCGAGAGGUUCCAGUCCCAGAUCCCACCUCCAUCGGACCUGUGAACAAAUAAACACAUUAAACUUCAUUUUGGUCAGAUUGGCAAGCAAAAUGACAAAUAUAACAUUUCUGUAUUAAAAAAUAUUUUUUAU